rnacentral:lncRNA from 1 species
AUGCCUCACUUCAUUAACCAAUGAAUAAUGUCAUUACAUUAGUUGAAAAAUUAUAAAAAAAAACUCAUUGCAUCACUUAUGCGAUUGGCUUGUAGGAUACUCUUCUUUCAAUCUUCUUUCAAUCCUAUGCUAUCAAGAUGGUGAUCAAAUAGAUGUUGUGGCCUUAGUGAAUGGGUCUACUAUAUUGCUCUUUGUAUCAACUCAUUUUAAGACAACAUCUUGUCUUUCAAUAAUUUUUCGAACG